AAUGUUUUUUCCAUUGUUCAUUUUUGCAAUGGUAUAAGCUCUGUUUUUGAAUGAAAUGACAGCAAAAUUGAAUAAAUAAAGAAAUAAAUGAGCACAUUCAUGCCAGUGUAGCAAUGUGCCAGUCAUGUGUGAGAGGAGUAGCUGCCAACAAUAAUCCUCUCAGGAACACAUUUCCUUUUAUGUGUGAUUCUAAUUAAGCCGUGAUUGACUAUGUAAAUUUCUCCAUAAUCACACCUCAUUUUCAUUCUGCUAAAGCACAUUUUUUUCUUCCUUUCCAUGAGCUCAGAAGCCGAAAUCCGACGUGUCUCCCACGGCAGACCGUGAGUCAGUGAGUCCCAGUGUGAGGCACAGCAGUGCAGGGCGGCAGGAUCUCUGAGUGCUGGAGAGCGGUGGAUUGUUAUGGUUUGCAGUGGGUGGAUAAGGGUCAUACAGAAGUGUGGCAGGGGCAGGAAACAGGUGUCAGAAAUGACGCAGAGAGAGAGAGAGUGAGUGAGAGUACUUCAGACGAGCACAUGUUCACUCACACACAAACAGCAAUCAACGCUCCUGUCUUCAAGCUGUCUAGUAUUUUCAAAUAAGCUUCUCCGGUCCAAACAGGAAAGCGAGAUGAGGAGGAGGAAUGAGAGAAGAGAGGAUUUACGUAUAGGUCUCAGGAUCAGACGUGUGCAGGCCAAAACAGACAGAGGGAGAAAAAGUUUAGCUCAGUGCCACUGAGUCAGAGCUGAAUUGCACAUAGAUGUUUGUGUGUGAGAGAGAAGUGCCAGUGUGAGAAGGAGGUGCCAAUGAGGAACACGUGUGAACUACACAUCGUCAUGCAUCGUUCAGCACUCUAACUUGAAGGUUAAUGUAGUAGAAAGAGAGUUGUAUUGUUUUCAUCUCUUGAAAUCUCUGUUUUCUGAUCUACAUAUCUUUGCAUUAAUGGAGAUUUAUGCUUUGUAACUUGAACCAUAAUUAAAGUCAUCAUGAAAUUAAGAUUGACAAUUUUUAAAUUAUUUAAAUUAUUGCAGUAUGUGUUGUAAAUGAUUUAUCCUUGCACAUCAUUAUUCACGAGUUCACGCUUAUAUAUAAUAAAUAAAUUAAAGGUUAUGCGUAUUUGUCCUGAACCCAGAGUAUUUCCCCCCAUCCCAGGUUGGGAUAGGAAUAGUUAGAAAUGGGAGCUCUAGCACAAGUUCUACCUGGAAGACUCAAAUGUCACGUCAUUCAUUUCUCAUAGGUCUAGCCAAUCAUCACUCAACAUCUGGAGUAUAUAAAUUCUGUUCCCACCAAUUCAUUUGUUUGCAGAUACUUACACCGGCGUUCACCCCCAUCCUCCCCACCACUACCACCAUGUCGGUCCCUGUCCAUACGCUCCACCCCUGCCUUCAUCUUCAGGCAGGAACUGCAAGUAUCUGCUACCCUUUGGAUUUGGACAAUGGACAGGGCCUAUGCCAAAGAACUUUAUCAUUUCAUCUUUGUUACUAAUUUGCAUACUAACUGUUAAAGGUG